GACGAACGCUGGCGGCGUGCUUAACACAUGCAAGUCGAACGGAAAGGCCCCUUUGGGGGUACUCGAGUGGCGAACGGGUGAGUAACACGUGAGUAACCUGCCCUUGACUUCGGGAUAACUUCAGGAAACUGGGGUUAAUACCGGAUAGGAAUCCUUGCUGCAUGGUGGGGGUUGGAAAGCUUCGGCGGUUUUGGAUGGACUCGCGGCUUAUCAGCUUGUUGGUGGGGUAGUGGCUUACCAAGGCUUUGACGGGUAGCCGGCCUGAGAGGGCGACCGGCCACAUUGGGACUGAGAUACGGCCCAGACUCCUACGGGAGGCAGCAGUGGGGAAUAUUGCACAAUGGGCGGAAGCCUGAUGCAGCAACGCCGCGUGCGGGAUGACGGCCUUCGGGUUGUAAACCGCUUUCAGCAGGGGCGAAGCUUGUGGUGACGGUACCUGCAGAAGAAGCACCGGCUAACUACGUG
rnacentral:rRNA from 1 species